UGGUGCUGGAAGAGGAGAAGGAGGAGUUUGCUGGCCCCGUCCCCUCUGGUCUAGGGGUCCUGGGCCCUCUCCCUGCCUCACUGCUCCCCUCUGGACAGCUGGCCAUCAUUGAGUAUCUAGAGGAGACGCGUCCCACUCCGCGACUUCUGCCUCAGGACCCAAAGAAGAGGGCCAGCGUGCGUAUGAUUUCUGACCUCAUCGCUGGUGGCAUCCAGCCCCUGCAGAACCUGUCUGUCCUGAAGCAAGUGCGAGAGGAGAUGCAGCUGACCUGGGCCCAGAACGCCAUCACUUCUGGCUUUAACGGUGACCAUGGCUGAUCUGUGCUUGGUGCCUCAGGUGGCAAAUGCUGAAAGAUUCAAGGUGGAUCUCACCCCCCUACCCUACCAUCAGCUCCAUCAACAAGAGGCUGCUGGUCUUGGAGGCCUUCCAGGUGUCUCACCCCUGCCGGCAGCCAGAUACACCCACUGAGCUGAGGGCCUAGCUCCCAAAUCCUGCCCCGUUGGCACAGGGCCACAGGAGCAGAAGCUGGGUGGGCUGAAGAGGCCUGGAAAUGAGAGUCUUAAUUGAGGAGAUGGGAGACUCGAACUCUAGCCCUGGAUCUGCCUUCCUGCUGAAACUUGUUCCACCUCAGUCCCCUCAUCUGUCACACGCAUGUGGGGUGGAGUAGGGAGAUGCGGGGAGCAGGGUGGGCAGGAAUAUUGUUAUCUAUGUGACGGGGCAGUCGUGAGGCUGAGAUGAGAAUGUGGAUUAAAAUGCCUGGCGUGCUCACCGUAACACCACGGGGAAGGCUGUGUGCCUUUUCUCAUCCGCUUUUGUUGUGUGUGACUCCCAAAGAAUGCCCACGCUGAAAUUUGGCGUGAAUUAAACUGAAGCCCAGGCCUCUACCUUGUUUGUCUAAGACUGAGCUAGGUUCCAGA
rnacentral:lncRNA from 1 species